GUUGUUAGAAUAAUUCUUUCUCAGAUGUAUACACUUGUACUUUUGUACAUGUAUGUAUCAUAUAAGACUCUCAAACAAGUAAACUUAUUUAUAAAUAAAAAUAUGUUUAUAUAUAUCUUAAAUGUAUAUAUUGCAUUUGUGUUUGGUUACUGAAUCCUCUUUGAAAUUCAGACCAGUAUUUUAUAUUACCCAGUAUUGCCCAGUAUUACCCAGUAAAACCCAGUAAAGCCCGGGUUUUCCCAGUAUUUCCCACUGGGCUGGGCAAUACUCAUAAAACCCGGGAUUUUGCCAACCCUGCUA
rnacentral:lncRNA from 1 species